UUGGUGAUCAUAAUGUGUUUGGAGAUCUGACUUUACGGGACAUUCUUUUUGCUACAAUUAUCUCUAUCUAUAAUGAACUUGGCCCAGUAAUUACAGUGGAAAAUAUAUUCUAAAAAUUUACAAAAAUUGUUAACAAUUGACUAUAAAGAGCAAUAACUCCUUAAGGGGUCAAUUGACAAUUUUGGUCUUGUUGACUUAUUUGUAGAUCUUACUUUGCUGAACAUUGUUGCUGUUUACAGUUUAUCUCUAUCUAUAAUAAUAUUCAAGAUAAUAACCAAAAUCUGCCAAAUUUCCUUAAAAUUACUAAUUCGGGGGCAACAACCCAACAACAGGUUGUCCGAUUUGUCUGAAAAUUUCUGGGCAGAUAGAUCUUGACCUGAUGAUUAAUUUUAUCCCAUGUCAGAUUUGCUCUAAAUGCU
rnacentral:lncRNA from 1 species